UACGUAGGGUGCAAGCGUUUGUCCGGAAUUAUUGGGCGUAAAGAGCUCGUAGGCGGCCUGUUGCGUCCGCUGUGAAAGCCCGGGGCUUAACCCCGGGUCGGCAGUGGAUACGGGCAGGCUAGAGGUAGGUAGGGGAGAAUGGAAUUCCCGGUGUAGCGGUGAAAUGCGCAGAUAUCGGGAGGAACACCGGUGGCGAAGGCGGUUCUCUGGGCCUUACCUGACGCUGAGGAGCGAAAGCGUGGGGAGCGAACAGG
rnacentral:rRNA from 1 species